GGGGAACUUCUGAUUAUGCUAAAGAUGAAGGCCUUGCUAAUGGAGGAAGAUACCACAGUCGAUCUCCUCCACCACGAGAGAGGUCGAGAUCCUAAGCAAGGAGAUGGUCACAAAUCGGUCACUUGAAGGGCUGUUUCUGGAGAGGGGACGAUAUCCUAAGCAAAGAAAUGAUCUUGAAUCAGUAUUUGUCAAGUGCAGGUUUUAGAGGAGAGCUAUAGUUGCUUAAAAGUACCCUAUUUGUGAAAAUGCAUGUAUCAACAAAUUUACAAUUGAAUUUGAUAUUGUGUUAGUGGUUUGAUGUAUUUUGAUAUCCCUUUAGAAGAGGGUUCAUAAGUGCUUAUGCUGUUGUCGAACCGUGGCUGAACUAUUUGUAUAUAGACAUGAUUUCAAGUGUGAACAUUUUGUAAAUUUUGUUAAUUUUAUGGAGACGUUCUUGAGUCA